rnacentral:lncRNA from 1 species
UUUUUUUUUUUUUUUUUUUUUGGGGUUAAUAGAAGGAAAAUAAAAAGGCUGGUAAUGUCUCUAUGAACACGGGCGCCUAGCAAAACGCAAACCUAAGCCAGAUGCUUAAUAAUUUCCUUUGCUGGUAAAUUAUUCUUGGUGCAUCGAUAUCGAAGAAGAAUCUCAUUAAUAGAUGUGCCAUGAAUAAAACAGCUACAACUUGAGGGAAACUGCGUUGAGAUUUGAAAUGGUAUGGACACAAUGCACUUUGCUUCCCCUUUGAAGUUGGUUUUGUUUCGUUUAUCAAGAACUAGGAACAUUGGAAAAAAGAAUAAAAAUAAAUUUAUGCACCUUUUUCAAUUUAUUGCAAAUAUCUUCUUAUUCAUAUAUACUGAUAAAUUUUACUUCAACACGAGGAGUUGAGGAUGUCAUAUGAUCAGUUAUCCUUUUUCUUUAGCUAAUUGCCAAAUUCUCGUUGCACGUUUUAAUUUCCUUACGCUCACAACUCGUCUCUAAAUAGAAAUAACAGCAGAACGUGCUUUUCGUUUUUUGUUUAUUUUUCAUUUAACGUGAUUGCACAUCUCUAAUGAUAACCUCAUUCUACUAUAAAUAUUAUCAGGGUGUUUCAUUAAUUUACAAAAUAAGAUGUUUUGGGAAUGAAAAUAAAUAUCAAUCAAUUACUAGGAGAUUCUCGCAUUAAGAAAAAAAAACAAAAUAAAGAAAUUUAUAAAGUAGAAAUAGAAGAAGGAAAUCGAGCCAAAAACAAAAAGAAUCAAGCGUAAGCAUUUGAAAAUCCUCAGCCCCCGUGUCAUAAUCAACAAAAAAGAGUACCGAUGAAUGAGACAAAAUGGUCUAUUAGUUGUUGGGUGGGGAACAAAUCACAUAGUAAAUCCAACAAUUAACCAACGGGUUAGGGGUAAAAGGCACAAAAAGUCAGGGGUAUUAAAGAAAAAGCAAAAGCAAAAUUUCACACAUAAAUACUCGUCAGUCCUUCACGCCAGGGCCUCGCGGUGCAUGAAUCAGUCGGAUGCAUUUGCAUGCCGCCUUCCCUCUUCCAUUUCAUCAACCUUCACUUAGAGAUCAUUUUCACCCAAAAUCACCGCCUCUUUUUCUUUAAACGAAAAAAACCUUGAUCUCCAUUCCAUUCCUCUGCUCUUCCUUUUUUAAUUACACUGUUUUCCGUUGUCAAGUUAAACCUUUUCCUCAUUUCAUUACAUUCCUUAAUUUUGUUUUUUUCCCCCCUUUAAUUUCCUCAAUCUUGCAUUUCUCUUCGUCUCCAAUGAAAAGAGACUCAAUUUUUGUAGCAAGAUUCCGCUUUUGGAUGGUGGAAAGGCGGAUGUUAUGAACAUUAUUCAUUCAUUACAAGCCGAGAAUCUUAUCCCAAAGUUGGUUUGGCUUUCUAGGGGCGAGUUUUCUUAUGCUCUCUUGUUUUUUAGUCCAGUUCUUUAAUAUUUAUGCUGAUUUUCCUGAAACUAUGGACUUGUUCAGUUUUUAUGUUUUCAUGAAAGACUGCCAUUGUUUAUUGAAGCCAGUCUGUCCUCCCACAUGUACUCUAUUGCAUUCACUUUACGAGGUUAUGUUCAUUGCAUCGUUCAUCAAAUUUGAUUCUAAACUUUUGAUUGAAAGAGUAAAAUAGUUAUACUGUACCAAACAACUAUCUUGCAGAGGCAUCAGCAUGACCACUCGUAUUUUUUCACAAGAACGAUCAUUGCAUGUACUAUCAGCCAUAAUUAAUAAGGUGUAAUAUUCGAAGCAUUUUACAGGUUGAGUCCACAUUUUCUUUUUGCCAAAGAAAGUGGGGGCCGUUUAUUUCUUCUCUUUCAGAGGGUUCAAAAUACACAUUUCAGGUAUGUCAGAGUUCCUAUUUAUGUUGAAUGAAGUUCAUAAUAUGGCUUGUUCUGUUCAAUUCUUUCGAAAUACCAUUUUGAAGCAAUUGAAUUUGGACUUCUGAGGUUUGACUUGGCCAUAAAUUAGAGUCACCAUUUUCAUGUUUUCAUGGCUGAUGAGGUUUGAGGCCUUAUUAGCUUCUGGUGGAAAUAAAUUAAUUAAAAGAAUGUCUAGUGUGAUUGUAGAACUGGGCUUGUCUGCUGCAGUUGCAUUGUAUUGCGAACUUAUCCCCUUGUUAAGGUUAGAUUAUGAUAUGUCUCAACUGUUUUCUCAAAUUUGCAGGUGAUACGUAGUAGUAUUGAAGGACACUAUGGCUAGUGUUUCAGAUAUUAGCGUUUCAGCUGCUAUCAAUCUUCUUUCUGCGUUGGCAUUUCUUCUGGCCUUUGCAUUUCUACGGCUGCAACCAAUUAAUGAUAGAGUUUAUUUCCCAAAAUGGUAUCUCAAAGGUAUAAGGGCAAGUCCUAGAAGUUCGGGACCUUUUAUGAAGAAGUUUGUCAAUUUGGAUAUAAGAAUGUAUUUGAAAUUCUGGACUUGGAUGCCUGCGGCAUUACGGAUGCCACAACCUGAGCUUAUAGAUCAUGCAGGGCUCGACUCAGCUGUAUAUAUUCGCAUUUAUCUUCUUGGGUGAGUUUCUAAUAUUCAAGCCUAUAACACGAUACCGUAAUUAGUAUAACAAAGAGCUCAUAGACUCAAGGCUAUACUAUUAGCAUCUUGCGGAAUGGAAUCAGCAAGUUCUGAAGCAGUAUAGAAAGAUAAGUUUCUAUUUUUAACGUUUCUCUAAUUCACAAAUUAAAUGCAGAUUGAAAAUCUUUGUCCCAAUAGCCAUACUUGGUUUUGCUGUCCUGGUGCCUGUCAAUUGGACUGGGAAAACAUUAGAGCAUAUUCACAACUUAACAUUCAGCAAUAUUGACAAGCUUUCCAUAUCCAAUGUUCCUUCAGGAUCAGAGAGGUAAGAGUCUAAACUAUGUCAGUCCCUCUCGGACUCUUCUCUGUAUUUGGUGUUCCAGGUAUCAAGAUGGUGGAACAGGGAAAUUUUCCAACUUUUUGUUGAGUAAGCACUUCAGUGUAUGAGUAGGUUAUUGUCAGAUCAUGAUGCAGUAAAUCAGCAAAUAAAAAACACAAAUCUAUUUAAUGUCUACUGUCAACUCUAAUUGAUGGAUUGUGGUUGUAAAGCAUAUGAGAGCUGGUUCUCCUGUACAAUUAAAUCAUAUGCAGCUACUUAUGGUUACAUUACUUCAUGCACUCUCUUUGUGAGAUUUAAUUCUUGAGAUCCUGAACUGCAAAGAACAUACCUCUAAUCCUUCAAACUAUUAGUCUCUGUUUCAGAUAAACCAUUAUCCUUUAUGUGGAUUUUUAUGUAACAAGUACUUCCAAAAUGUUAGGUAUUCGUACUGCAAAAUGUGCUGCAUGUUUGUUGGCUAUGCUACUGCUUUAUUGAGAUUGGCAUAUGGAUGCUAUUUGAUGGCUUCUAUGAUAUUCUUAUUUUGAUAGUUAUGCUGAUGGGAUAUUCUCACCAAGGACAACAUAUCCCUCUUUCUUUUCAGGUUGUGGGCACAUCUACUAAUGGCAUAUACUUUCUCAUUCUGGACAUGCUAUGUUCUUUACAAGGAAUACAAGAUUGUGUCUACCUUGAGGUUGCAUUUUCUUGCUUCUGAAGGUCGUCGUCCAGAUCAGUUUACUGUGAGUAGGUCACAAGUUGUAUUGACUAACCAUGUUUUGGUCUGAGUUUCUCAUGUUCUCACGGGUUCAGAUUGGUAAAAAUAGGAGCCUGGUGGAAAUACAUUAUAAAACUGGUCGUUCACUUGGAAGAACUUAUAGGGGUAUAGCAUACUAGUAAUAUAUUUGCUAAGGGAGGAAACUCUUCUAUAGGCAACCGUCUUGCAUACAUAUUUGAUUCAUGUUAAACUGCAUCGUGUUUAUAGAAGGCUGUCUUAUACAUGUUUCAAUGAGGUGUAUGUCUGGGUAUCUGAUAAAGUCCCACACUAGUAAGUCUUGGGAAUGAAUGAACUUAAGGUCUUUACCUCUUCUAGAUAUUCUUUUGUUUUCAAUAUGUGAAAGAAACAGACAGAGUACAACAUUAAGCUUCUGAAAUAACUAUGCAGCAUCUUAUUUUUUGUAAAGUUGGUCUUGUUGGUCUCCAUAAUAUUUCUUUUUCAUUCUAUCAUCAAAUAGAAGGCAGGUCGUUUUGAAUGUUAUGGUUACCAUAUUACUUGCUCACUUUAACACAGUUGUGAAUGCAAUGGUAACAUUUGAUACCACAAGGCUGAGUCAUGUCAAUUUAACUACUUGUUCAAAUUUGGACAUAUAUUUGCUUUAUCUAGAGAACAUAUUUCUUCAAUCAGGAAUAGGUAGAGUUGAGGCUUCUUAAUGGGUUGGACUUCUUCACAUGUGCUCUGGCCUUUACUGUUGCCAUUAGACUGCUGAUGAUCUAAAAGAAUACUGAUCAUUCUCAUUUAUGCAAUCUUCUUGCUAAGUUGGAUAUAUCAAGUUUGAAAUUUGUAUACCUAAAUUAUUCAGUUCUAAUAAAAGGCCCAUGUAUGUGGAUACAUCAGAGUAUCAAAUUAAGCUUGCAGCUAUUGUUUCCUCUGCAAGUCACCAUCAUUUUCAUUGUAAAUGGAUUACAAUAUGUCUCUAUGUGUCAAGGAGGUAUCCUCAUGAUUUGCCAUGGCACUUACAUGUAUACAGUAUUCGUGUAGUCUCUCAGGAGCAGGUCAUUUUCUGAUCUAUCUAUGCUAAUGUAUCCAAAUAUUGCUGCAGGUUCUUGUGAGAAAUGUACCUCCAGAUCCUGAUGAGUCAGUUAGUGAACACGUUGAACAUUUCUUUUGUGUAAAUCAUCCGGAUCAUUAUCUCUCUCACCAGGUGUUAAGCUUAUCAAAAACACUGUUUAAUAUCUUGGACAAUCUAUUAGAGUUUUGUUUUGCCUUCCAUAUAUAAUCUGAAUCAGGAAAAUAUGUGUCUUUUUUGAGGACUAAACAUUGAGAUUAAAAACUUUUUGUAGAAAACAACAUUAUAAUCUUUUGCUUUCAAUUAAUGAAAAAUAUUGGACAUUUUCAUAUGUCAUGUUUUCUGCAACAUUCUGAAGUAAGAUGUUUUAUUAAUUUUACGUAGGUCGUAUACAAUGCAAAUAAACUAGCAAAAUUGGUGGAAAAGAAGAAGAGUUAUCAAAAUUGGCAUACUUACUACCAAACCAAGUACGAGAGAAACCCCAAAAAAAAGCCGACAACAAAGGUAUUUUAUCCGUAUGCUAAGAUGCUAGCUAGUUGGUCAACUUGUAUGUAAACAUUAUUAUUAUAUAGCUUAUUCAAGUGAUACAUGACAAUAAGUUCAUGACCUCACAUUUAGACACGUGUAGACAGGUUUUUGGGGACUUUGGGGAAAGACUGUUGAUGCCAUUGACUACUAUACAGCUGAAAUUGAAAAGUUGAGUGAAGAGGUAAGUUUCUUUCACUCAUAAAUACCCCAUGUCUUUUUUUCUUUGAGUAAAAUAAAUGGCCUGUCUCAAUACAAGAAUCAUGAAUUAGCAUAAGUCUGUUUGGAUUGGGAGUUUUUUCCAAAUACAGUUCUUCACAAAAAAAAAAAAACACACUUCAAAUGCAAUGUCAAAUACACUUUAAAAAACACUAAAAAAAAAAUAAAAAUCGUACCACCUCUUUCUUCCUCAACUCCUACCGCCACCAUCAUCUCUCUCUUCCUCCUCUUCCCUGUUUCUCAUCUCGCCUCCACUACCCCUCCAUUUUCCUCUCUUCGGCGCUAUCACUGAUGCCUCCACCAGCCCUACCUCCAGUGCUUGCACCACCACCUAUGUACUCUUCCCCCUCCUCCUCUCUCCUCCUUCUCUUACCCCUACCUCCCCUCAUUGCCCCCUCUCCUUCCUGCCUGCAACCAGAUAUGGUCAUCAGUCGUGACUAGUCUAAGAGGAAGAGGAAGAUGGAGGAGAUAAGAGGAGGGGAAUGGAGGCAGGGGUGGGGCAGUGCUGCUGGUGAUAGCUAGGGGAAGGGGGUGGUAAGUGGUUAUGGUGGGGAAGAAAAAGAAAUUUUAAAAAUAUCUCAAUAAAAUUUUAAAUUUUAAAAAUACCCCCAAUAUAUACAUCUAAAAUGAAAGGUUUUAAUAUACAAAAACAAAACUACAAUAAAAUUUUUAAAAAACACCUAAUUUGUAUGGACCCUAAGUAUCAUGGACAUGGUUUAAGAUGGUUUACUUAACAAAAAAGCAAAUGUUCUUCUAGCCUUGAUUUUCUUAGACUGUAUGUGUCUAUAUUUCUCAAUCAUCUACUAAAGCAAUUAGAUUCUUCACAAGGUUAAUGCAUUUAAAGCUCAUGGAAACUACUCCCUCCGUCCCAUUGAUAGUGUCAUACUUUCCUUUUUUAUCCGUCCCAAAAUGAUUGUCACUUACUAAAAUUGGCAAUGAAAACUCUCACACAUUUCCGCUCCAUACCCUUCAAUGUGACAGCCUUUUCUUUUCUUUUAGUGGGCCCAAUUAUGCACUUUCCAAGUACCAACACUGCACUUGAUAGAUCGUGAUUCUCACAUGAAAUGCAAACAACAAUCGUGCAUGACACUUUCCUCUAAAGUAGUGUGGAGACUUUUUAUUCUUUUGGGUCCCACAUGUCUUAUCACAACUUAUGACCCCUUUAUCAUUCAAUCACGUAUGGAAACAUUGAAAGUCAAGGGGUAUUGCCGGAACUUAAACACAAAUCAUUUAAAAGUCUUGCACUGUUGAUAAAAAUUACAAGUUUCGAAGCGCGACACAAAUUCUGGGACGGAGGGAGUAGAAUAUUAAAGUACAGGCCUUUGGAAGGCUUUCCUAUACUCGGCUUUGGUAGCUCCUAAUUGUCCUGUUAUGUUGGAUAAUGAAACUAGAGAAAUGGAUUGUCAUGAGAAAUCCCAAUGCCAAAUUGAGAGUGGAAAAACAAACAACAGUUGCAUAAUGAAAGCAUAUAUUAGUAUGUUGCAUCUCUGUCUUAUCAUGAUUACAAAUCCUUCAAUGUUGAACUAGGAAGCUACAGAAAGAGAGAGAGUCAUGAGUGAUCCUAAGGCCAUAAUUCCUGCUGCAUUUGUUUCAUUCAAAUCCCGAUGGGGUGCAGCAGUUUGUGCACAAACCCAGCAGUCCAGUAAUCCGACAAUUUGGCUGACAGAAUGGGCUCCUGAACCACGUGAUGUUCAUUGGGCAAAUCUUGCAAUGCCAUAUGUUGGACUCACCAUUCGGAGGCUUUUGGUUGCUGUUGUAUUAUUUUUCCUCACUUUCUUCUUUAUGAUCCCUAUUGCAUUUGUGCAAUCUAUGGCAAAUAUCGAAGGAAUUGAAAAAGUUCUUCCUUUCUUGAAGCCAUUAAUAGAAGCGUAAGUAAAUUUUUUUAGCAUGUACACGUUAUGAUUGUUUCAUAUGUGAUUUUUUUUUCUUCCUCAUUAAAAAACAAAUUAACCUCUGUAUUGCAGGUCUAGUGUGGGUAUAGCAAAUUAAUGAUGCUUUCCAUGUUCGUCCAUAAAAUUUAAUCUAAGAGAAGAGAAUUUAGAUCUUUUUGUUUUCCAUUUCAUAUUUAAAGACUUUCUUUUUUUGGUAUUGGUCCAUAUUUAUACUCAUCAAAUGUUAGAAAUUUCUGUCACAGCAAAACAGUCAAGUCCGUCAUUCAAGGUUUCCUUCCAGGAAUUGCUCUGAAGAUAUUUCUGAUUCUUCUUCCAACAAUUCUCAUGACCAUGUCGAAAAUAGAAGGCUUCACAUCCCUUUCAUCUUUAGACAGAAGAUCUGCUGCAAAGUACCACUUGUUUCUGCUUGUUAAUGUUUUCUUUGGCAGCAUCAUCACAGGAGCAGCAUUUGAGCAGCUUCAGAGUUUUCUCAAGCAGGCUCCAACGGAGUAUGUUCCCUUUCAUUUUAAAAUGGGUAUUAAUUUGUCUCAAUCAGAGUUUCUUCCAGUUAUAUUUAAAUAUAUAGAUGUUAUUCCUAUGAAUAAGAUCCAGUUUAAGCCUACUUCAUAUAUAAGGUCACAGGGUGGUCAUAAGCUCAUUUUAACUCAUCUGAUAUCAUAAGUUCCUUAGCAUCUAAUGACUCACUGAUUGAGACCUUGAUCGAUUCUAAUGAUCGAGUCUUUGCAAACAUAUAUGUAAUGUGUGGCUGCAGGAUACCAAAAACUGCUGGUGUGGCUAUUCCCAUGAAAGCAACAUUCUUUAUCACUUACAUAAUGGUUGAUGGUUGGGCUGGCAUUGCUGCAGAGAUCCUUAGAUUGGUUCCAUUGGUUAUGUUCCAUUUGAAGAAUACUUUUUUGGUCAAAACGGAGCAGGACAGGGAGGAUGCCAUGGAUCCUGGUUCAAUAAACUUUGCUACCUCAGAACCCCGCAUACAGUUGUACUUUUUACUGGGACUUGUGUACUCGGUUGUCACACCUAUACUCCUUCCAUUCAUCAUCAUAUUUUUUGCCUUUGCUUAUGUGGUUUUCCGUCAUCAGGUAUGUCUUUCUUAAAUGCUUGUAUGAUUAUCCUAAAUACAGCAAUGGAUGCAGAAAAAUAAUUGUGAUAAAUACAAAUUGGUCAUUGCUUUUCAUACUGUGUUCGUCUUCUUCUUAACAUUUUGUAUUCUGGAGAAGUGAAUAUAAUUCAAAAUUUUUUCUCAUGUCAAGAUCAUCAAUGUGUACGACCAAAAAUACGAGAGUGGGGCAAAAUUCUGGCCAGAUGUGCAUCGUCGUAUAAUUGUUGCUUUGGUAAUAUCGCAGCUUCUAUUGAUGGGGCUGUUAAGCACCAAAAAAGCUGCCAAUUCAACACCAUUGCUGAUUGUACUUCCAGUCUUGACAAUUUGGUUCCAUCUCUUUUGCAAAGGGCGAUUUGAGUCAGCAUUUGUAAAAUUUCCAUUACAGGUUACAAUCUGAUAUUGUGUUUCCAUAGCUAUUCAGAAAUACUCAAAAAUCAUCUUUAGCGGUGACUGAUCAUAUAAUCACUGUGUGUUCCAGUAACAACUCUUUUUUUGGCCGCAUUCUUAUAAUAAUGUUUCUGUUAUAUUAUUUUUGGUUGUGUAUAGGGCUAAAAGUUGUUUCUUAAGGUGAUGGCAUCUGAUUUGUUGAAUGCAGGAUGCAAUGGUGAAGGAUACAUUGGAAAGGGCCACGGAGCCAAACCUAAAUCUGAAAGCAUACCUCCAUGAUGCUUACAUACACCCGGUUUUCAAGUGUGUUCAGCUUGACAAGCCGAAAGCAGUUGAUGAUGAGGAGAAUAACCCACUUGUUGCCACCAAGAGAAAUUCCCGUAGGGAUAGUAAAACUGGGUCCGAUGGCAUUCCUGAAACAUCAGUUUGAGAUACUUCCCUCAUAUGCGAUUUCAGUAUAAUUUAUCUUGAUUCUUCUUUGAAUGCGAUAAUGAUUUACUUGCACCAGGGUUUGUGAUUGCUAGAAACAGUUUUGGAUGUACACUUGUUGAUAGAUAUGGCAUUAACUGUGCAUGUACAUAAUGAUUGCAAUCAGAGCUAACGUUGUCAAACAUUUUGUCAUUUUUGUCAAACUUUACUUAACAGAUGCUUCAUCAAUUCACUUUGUGAGCCCGUCGUACGGUCAUAUAUACCUCUCGAAUAGUCAUAGCAAUUCUCUGAGCUUGUCAAGACUCAGAGAGUAUCACAAGUGGGGAAAAAAAGAAAGAAAUCUCCCCUCCCAUUUCCACAAACAUGAAGUAAUAAUACAAAAAAUAAUAAAUAAAGCGGCCAAGGCAAUCUUUGCGUACUUGAGUUCAUUCCCAAGAGGCCGAGAAUGUCAACGAAGCCUGUCAUCAAAAUUGUGAAUGUCCUAUGACGCUACUAUUUUGCAGUGCCACAAAUAUCCAAUCAAUCAGGAACGAAGGUUGUAGUUCCUGGUUCCAAACUCUAGACAAGUAAAAUAUAUGAUAAGAAAACUGCAGUAUAAAUUAGGACAAGAAAUUAAGAUACCGUUCCAUUUCAAACCCAGGCGGCUCCUUUUUAGAGGCGCAAAAAUAGAGUAUCUUUAUUAUGUACAGGGCUUCAAUAUCUGUUGCUCUAUUAUGAUAUACAUGGCAGCGACUCUAAAGCAGCUAGAUGAACUAGGGUUAGAUAAGUAUCUACCAGGAAAAAACUACACUUCAGCGACUAGUUGAUGGAACAAAAUUCAGUAUCCAGUUUCUAUGAUUAAUUCAGCAGCUGCACCCAU